rnacentral:rRNA from 1 species
GACGUAGGAGGCGAGCGUUAUCCGGAUUCACUGGGCGUAAAGCGCAUGUAGGCGGUUCGAUAAGUCCGCUGUUAAAGCCCCCGGCUCAACUGGGGGAGGUCAGUGGAGACUAUAGGACUUGAGGGCAACAGAGGCACGUGGAACUCCCGGUGUAGCGGUGGAAUGCGUAGAGAUCGGGAAGAACACCAGUGGCGAAGGCGACGUGCUGGGUUGCGACUGACGCUGAGAUGCGAAAGCUAGGGGAGCAAACAGG